CAGAAACCAGGGAUGCAGGGCCAGGCUCGUGGGGUGCUGCAGCAGAUGUGGGGAUUUUUCCUUCUUUAUGUUUCCCUGAAGAUGGGAGGCAUUGCAGGACAAAGCAUUGAGCAGCCCAGUGAGUUGACAGCUGUGGAAGGAGCCUUCAUCCAGGUCAACCUCAUCUAUCGGACAUCUGGGUUCAAUGGAUUGUCCUGGUACCAGCAAUAUGACGGCAGAGCACCCAUAUUUCUCUCUUAACGGUGUUCUGGAUGGUUUGGAGGGGAGAGGUCAUUUUUCUUCAUUCCUUAAUCGCUCUGCUGGGUACAGUUACUUCCUUCUGAAGGAGCUCCAGAUGAAAGACUCUGCCUCUUACCUCUGUGCCGUGAGAGACACAGUGAUUAUGCAGCCUCUUCAGCUGCACUGA